CACGUAGGGGCCAAGCGUUGUCCGGAUUUAUUGGGCGUAAAGAGCUCGUAGGCGGUUCAGCAAGUCGGGUGUGAAAACUCUGGGCUCAACCCAGAGACGCCACCCGAUACUGCUGUGACUAGAGUCCGGUAGGGGAGUGGGGAAUUCCUGGUGUAGCGGUGAAAUGCACAGAUAUCAGGAGGAACACCGGUGGCGAAGGCGCCACUCUGGGCCGGCACUGACGCUGAGGAGCGAAAGCG
rnacentral:rRNA from 1 species